rnacentral:rRNA from 1 species
UACGGAGGGUGCAAGCGUUAUCCGGAUUCACUGGGUUUAAAGGGUGCGUAGGUGGCUUGGUAAGUCAGUGGUGAAAGCCCGGAGCUCAACUCCGGAACUGCCAUUGAUACUGCUUAGCUUGAAUCAGGUCGAGGUGGAUGGAAUAUUACAUGUAGCGGUGAAAUGCUUAGAUAUGUAAUAGAACACCGAUUGCGAAGGCAGUUCACUAGGCCUGUAUUGACACUGAGGCACGAAAGCGUGGGGAGUCAAAC